rnacentral:tRNA from 1 species
GCCUGGUUAGCUCAAUCGGUAGAGCGUGAGACUCUUAAUCUCAAGGUUGCGGGUUCGACCCCCGCAUUGGGCU